UACAGAGGGUGCAAGCGUUGUUCGGAAUUAUUGGGCGUAAAGGGCGCGUAGGCGGUGCGGUAAGUCUGUAGUGAAAUCUCUGGGCUCAACUCAGAGUCUGCUGCAGAAACUGCCGUGCUUGAGUGUGGGAGAGGUGAGUGGAAUUCCUGGUGUAGCGGUGAAAUGCGCAGAUAUCAGGAGGAACACCGGUGGCGAAGGCGGUUCUCUGGGCCUUACCUGACGCUGAGGAGCGAAAGCGUGGGGAGCAAACAGG
rnacentral:rRNA from 1 species